AAGCUCGUAGUUGAAUUUCGGGAUCAAAUUGUCGGUCGUGCCUCGGUACGUACUGGCGUUAUUGGUUCCUCCCUUCUGAAGAACCGCGAUGUCAUUAAUUUGGUGUCGCGGGGAAUCAGGACUGUUACUUUGAAAAAAUUAGAGUGUUUAAAGCAGGCUCGCGCUUGAAUACAUUAGCAUGGAAUAAUGAAAUAGGACGUUUGAUUCUAUUUUGUUGGUUUCUAGGAUCGACGUAAUGAUUAAUAGGGAUAGUUGGGGGCAUUAGUAUUCAAUUGUCAGCGGUGAAAUUCUUGGAUUUAUUGAAGACUAACUACUGCGAAAGCAUUUGCCAAGGAUGUUUUCAUUAAUCAAGAACGAAAGUUAGGGGAUCGAAGACGAUCAGAUACCGUCGUAGUCUUAACCAUAAACUAUGCCGACUAGGGAUCGGAUGAUGUUAAUUUUUUAAUGACUCAUUCGGCGCCUUACGGGAAACCAAAGUGUUUGGGUUCCGGGGGGAGUAUGGUCGCAAGGCUGAAACUUAAAGGAAUUGACGGAAGGGCACCACCAGGGGUGGAGCCUGCGGCUUAAUUUGACUCAACACGGGGAAACUCACCAGGUCCAGACAUAGUAAGGAUUGACAGAUUGAGAGCUCUUUCUUGAUUCUAUGGGUG
rnacentral:rRNA from 1 species